ACUCCUGCGGGAGGCAGCAGUGGGGAAUUUUGGACAAUGGGCGAAAGCCUGAUCCAGCAAUGCCGCGUGUGUGAAGAAGGCCUUCGGGUUGUAAAGCACUUUUGUCCGGAAAGAAAUCCUUGGCUCUAAUACAGUCGGGGGAUGACGGUACCGGAAGAAUAAGCACCGGCUAACUACGUGCCAGCAGCCGCGGUAAUACGUAGGGUGCGAGCGUUAAUCGGAAUUACUGGGCGUAAAGCGUGCGCAGGCGGUUUGCUAAGACCGAUGUGAAAUCCCCGGGCUCAACCUGGGAACUGCAUUGGUGACUGGCAGGCUAGAGUAUGGCAGAGGGGGGUAGAAUUCCACGUGUAGCAGUGAAAUGCGGAGAGAUGUGGAGGAAUACCGAUGGCGAAGGCAGCCCCCUGGGCCAAUACUGACGCUCAUGCACGAAAGCGUGGGGAGCAAACAGGAUUAGAGACCCUUGUAGUCC
rnacentral:rRNA from 1 species